UUAGAAUCAAGAAAAAGGAGCAAGGGCAUUGAGGGGCAGAAUAUUCUCAUCAAAUAAAUGAUUUGGAAGAAGGGAAUCCUAUCCCAGAAAGAGUCAUCAAAAUCCAAUGGCAAGACAAAAGUCAAUAUAACCACAGAUGGGCUGGAAUGCAGUGGAUAAACUUGGUGUCUUUAAUGACUGACCAACUUCUAAGAAUUCCACAAUACCUUCUUCAGCUUUCUUCAUGGUCAUUGGAACAAAUUGUUUUUGUCCAUCUAUUCUGCCAGGGGAAGUUUUCAUGUGCUUAAUGUAUACUUCAUCCUAACUCAUCAGUGAUUUGAAGCCUGUCAGGUAUCUUCAAAACAAUUUAGCACAUCUGCUAAGACAGUUUUCCUUCAAUGUAAUUGCUGCUUUUAUUAUAGCUUCUUGGUGCCACA